UACAUGCAAGAAAGCCCUGACUUUACGGGAAGGGUGCAUUUAUUAGAUCAAAACUAACCGGACUUCGGUUCGAGGCUUUGAUGACUCUGGAUAACUUUUCUGAUCGCACGGCCUUUGUGUCGGUGACGUAUCUUUCAAAUGUCUGCCCUAUCAACUUACGAUGGUAGGUGAUAUGCCUACCAUGGUUAUAACGGGUAACGGGGAAUCAGGGUUCGAUUCCGGAGAGGGAGCCUGAGAAACAGCUACCACAUCCAAGGAAGGCAGCAGGCGCGCAAAUUACCCACUCCCGGCACGGGGAGGUAGUGACGAAAAAUAACGAUACGGGACUCAAUCGAGGCCCCGUAAUUGGAAUGAGAACACUUUAAAUCCUUUAACGAGGAUCAAUUGGAGGGCAAGUCUGGUGCCAGCAGCCGCGGUAAUUCCAGCUCCAAUAGCGUAUAUUAAAGUUGUUGCAGUUAAAAAGCUCGUAGUUGGAUCUGAGGAGUGGAAUGGAUGGUUCACCUUUCGGUGCGACUGUCUGUUCGGCCUACACAGCCGUGGAUGCCCUUGGUGCUCUUCACUGAGUGCUUUGGGUGCCCGGCACGUUUACUUUGAAAAAAUUAGAGUGCUUAAAGCAGGCCUUGUGCUUGUAUAGUGUUGCAUGGAAUAAUGGAAUAGGACUUCGGUUCUAUUUUGUUGGUUUUCGGAUCCGAAGUAAUGAUUAACAGAGACAGACGGGGGCAUUUGUAUGGCGGUGUUAGAGGUGAAAUUCUUGGAUCGCCGCCAGACAAACAACUGCGAAAGCAUUUGCCAAGAAUGUUUUCAUUAAUCAAGAACGAAAGUCAGAGGUUCGAAGACGAUCAGAUACCGUCCUAGUUCUGACCAUAAACGAUGCCAACUGACGAUCCGUGGCGGUUGCUUGUACGACCCCGCGGGCAGUCACCGGGAAACCAAAGUUUAUGGGUUCCGGGGGAAGUAUGGUUGCAAAGCUGAAACUUAAAGGAAUUGACGGAAGGGCACCACCAGGAGUGGAGCCUGCGGCUUAAUUUGACUCAACACGGGAAAACUCACCCGGCCCGGACACUUUAAGGAUUGACAGAUUGACGGCUCUUUCUCGAUUGGGUGGAUGGUGGUGCAUGGCCGUUCUUAGUUGGUGGAGCGAUUUGUCUGGUUAAUUCCGAUAACGAACGAGACUUUAACCUGCUAACUAGAACAAUGGUAAUGGCCAGUGCAGACUUCUUAGAGGGACUAAUGUCGUAUAGACAUACGAGAAAGAGCAAUAACAGGUCUGUGAUGCCCUUAGAUGUUCGGGGCCGCACGCGCGCUACACUGACGGUAUCAGCGAGUAUGAUCCUGGCUUGAGAAGGCUGGGCAACCUGUUGAAUCACCGUCGUGACAGGGAUCGGGGCUUGUAAUUAUUCCCCGUGAACGAGGAAUUCCCAGUAAGCGCAAGUCAUAAGCUUGCGUUGAUUACGUCCCUGCCCUUUGUACACACCGCCCGUCGCUACUACCGAUUGAAUGGUUUAGU
rnacentral:rRNA from 1 species